rnacentral:tRNA from 1 species
CAGAGAGUAGUCUAAUUAAGGAUCCUAGCUUUGGGAGUUAGGGGUAGGAGUUAGAAUCUCUUCUCUUUG